rnacentral:rRNA from 1 species
UACGAAGGGGGCUAGCGUUGUUCGGAAUCACUGGGCGUAAAGGGCGCGUAGGCGGCUUUAUAAGUCGGGGGUGAAAGCCUGUGGCUCAACCACAGAAUUGCCUUCGAUACUGUUAGGCUUGAGACCGGAAGAGGUGAGUGGAACUGCGAGUGUAGAGGUGAAAUUCGUAGAUAUUCGCAAGAACACCAGUGGCGAAGGCGGCUCACUGGUCCGUAACUGACGCUGAGGAGCGAAAGCAUGGGGGAGCGAAC